AGGGUUCGAUCAUGGCUCAGGAUGAACGCUAGCGGCACGCUUCAUACAUGCAAGUCGAGGGGCAGCAUAAAUUACUUGUAAUUUGAUGGCGACCGGCGAACGGGUGCGUAACGCGUAUGCAACUUACCUUUUACUAGAGAAUAGCCAAGAGAAAUUUUGAUUAAUGCUCUAUACUCUUAUUAAUUCACAUGAGUUUUUAAGAAAAGCUCCGGCGGUAAAAGAUGGGCAUGCGUCCUAUUAGCUUGUAGGUGAGGUAACGGCUCACCUAAGCUCCGAUAGGUAGGGGUCCUGAGAGGGAGAUCCCCCACACUGGUACUGAGACACGGACCAGACUUCUACGGAAGGCAGCAGUAAGGAAUAUUGGACAAUGGAGGAAACUCUGAUCCAGCGAUGCCGCGUGAAGGAAGACGGCCCUAUGGGUUGUAAACUUCUUUUAUACAGGAAUAAACCUAUCCACGUGUGGAUAGCUGAAGGUACUGUAAGAAUAAGGAUCGGCUAACUCCGUGCCAGCAGCCGCGGUAAU
rnacentral:rRNA from 1 species